GCUAAGGCGGGCAAAGGUGCAGAUAGGCAAAUUAACCCCAGGUACACAUUACUAAUAUGUAUGAGUACCGAUGUCAAAAGAAAAAGGAAGGGGUCUCCUUGGGAGGGAAAUUAUUAAACGAAAGACAAUGAUGUGGUCUUGGGGAAGUUUUAGAAAUGUGCACGAAACUGAAACCCAUUUCUCGGGCAUAAGGCGAUGAUUACACGAAGGCACGAAACUAGUGUGUGAAUUGCGCACCUGGCCAGUACGCAAGAAGCAUAUGACGUUCGUGAGACCGUGGCAAUUAUUGCAGCGAAUGCGAAAUAGCAAAUCCAUUGCGGAUUUGGUUAUGCUAACGAAGGUUAUGAAAAGUUAGGCGAGUCGACCGGUUCUAGCGAACAAGUCGAAUAAGAAUAAGCUACCAUCCGUUUUGAACGGGUGAUUUUGAAUGCUCUAAUGAAUGCUAGAAGCUUAAUCCGUUAUACGGAUUGAAAGAAGAAGUUAUGAUUAAAUGCAAAAAAAAAAAAAAAACCCAAUUAUUUGGGUAGUGGAAAAUGUGUAUGCUUAACUCUCGUUGAGAGUGUUUAUGCCAAACCCAAUUAUUUGGGUAGUGGAAUGUGUAUGCUUAACUCUCGUUGAGAGUGUUUAUGCCAAACCCAAUUAUUUGGGUAGUGGAAUGUGUAUGCUUAACUCUCGUUGAGAGUGUUUAUGCCAAACCCAAUUAUUUGGGUAGUGGAAUGUGUAUGCUUAACUCUCGUUGAGAGUGUUUAUGCCAAACCCAAUUAUUUGGGUAGUGGAAUAUGUAUGCUUAACUCUCGUUGAGAGUGUUUAUGCCAAACCCAAUUAUUUGGGUAGUGGAAUGUGUAUGCUUAACUCUCCUUGAGAGUGUUUAUGCCGAAACCCAAUUAUUUGGGUAGUCGAAUGUGUAUGCUUAACUCUCUUUGAGAGUGUUUAUGCCAAACCCAAUUACUUGGGUAGUCGAAUGU
rnacentral:lncRNA from 1 species